rnacentral:rRNA from 1 species
AUGAACGCUGGCGGCAGGCCUAAAACAUGCAAGUCGAACGCUUGUAGCAAUACAAGAGUGGCGCACGGGUGAGUAACAUGUGGGAAUAUGCCUUUUGGUACGGAACAACUUUUGGAAACGAAAGCUAAUACCGGAUGAUGUCUUCGGACCAAAGAUUUAUCGCCCAGGGAUGAGCCCGCGUAGGAUUAGGUAGUUGGUGGGGUAAAGGCCUACCAAGCCGACGAUCCUUAGCUGGUCUGAGAGGAUGAUCAGCCACACUGGGACUGAGACACGGCCCAGACUCCUACGGGAGGCAGCAGUGGGGAAUAUUGGACAAUGGGCGAAAGCCUGAUCCAGCAAUGCCGCGUGAGUGAUGAAGGCCUUAGGGUUGUAAAGCUCUUUUACCCGGGAUGAUAAUGACAGUACCGGGAGAAUAAGCUCCGGCUAACUCCGU